AUUGAACGCUGGCGGAAUGCUUUACACAUGCAAGUCGAACGGCAGCAUAGGUGCUUGCACCUGAUGGCGAGUGGCGAACGGGUGAGUAAUACAUCGGAACGUGCCCAGUCGUGGGGGAUAACGUAGCGAAAGUUACGCUAAUACCGCAUACGAUCUACGGAUGAAAGCGGGGGAUCGCAAGACCUCGCGCGAUUGGAGCGGCCGAUAUCAGAUUAGGUAGUUGGUGGGGUAAAGGCUCACCAAGCCGACGAUCUGUAGCUGGUCUGAGAGGACGACCAGCCACACUGGGACUGAGACACGGCCCAGACUCCUACGGGAGGCAGCAGUGGGGAAUUUUGGACAAUGGGCGCAAGCCUGAUCCAGCCAUGCCGCGUGCAGGAUGAAGGCCUUCGGGUUGUAAACUGCUUUUGUACGGAACGAAAAGGUUUGGCUUAAUACGCUGAACUCAUGACGGUACCGUAAGAAUAAGCACCGGCUAACUACGUG
rnacentral:rRNA from 1 species